CGCCGCGGCGGGCGGGAGGCUGCGGCUCGGGCGCCCGGCGGUGCCUCAGGCCGAGGAGGCGGCGGCCGCCCGGCUCGCUUGGCGCUUGUGCCCGAGGCAGCUACUUUCGGUGUGAAAAGUUGAGGACACCGCAUUCUUUACUGCUCGAGUGUCUUGAUAAAGCAGCUUGACCGCCUCAUGCAGCAAAGCGUAAGAGGAUGUAGCGAAGCUAAGAGUUUUAAUUUGUCUCCCACUGAACUUGUGUGUGUCUCCUUUUUCUUUCUGCCGGUGAUCACUUUUAUCCACCAAGCUUUUUAAACGGCAAUCUUCAGUUCUCAGGCGAACACAUGUUACGACAUUAGGAUAACUUCUCGAGGUAUUGCUCAAAAUGGAAUGCUUUUACAAAAGUCGCUUGUAUCCACGUUCUCUAAUUUAGCUGUAGGCAGAAACCCACACAGGUAUUCGAUGUUUUCUUCUUGUAGUACCUGUUGACUCCCUUCUUAGCUUUAAACCUGGAUUAUAUUAUAAGAGUCCCAGCUCUCUAGUCACUUAAAAUAUUUAUUGGCUUGUUAAACUGAACCACAUCUGCUGCUGUGAAACCAGGAUUUGUUUUAGAAUUCUAUCACAGGACUGUAGUAUUCUUUAGCGAAAGACAAUAUAAAGCUAAUUUUACCAUGAUUUCUUAAGAAAAGAGGUAAUAAAAAGGCAGUGGAAGCAGUGUGGUCCUCAUUCAGAACAGGUAGCCUUAUUCCUUCAGAGCAUUAAAGUAUUUCUAAACACACUCAUUAACCACAGCACUUGAAUAUUUUUUGUAUGAUCAGCUAUGAAAAAGGUUAGCUUAGACAUGUUAAAACUUAAUUAAGAUUGUUUGUCAGUCCAUUAAGAGGAACUAGUAUGGCAAGAUAACUUUGUGAUGUCUCAUAGUAUAAACCCAAAAGGACAUUCACUGGUACUUAGAAAGUGGGGGUUUUGAAAAAUGGUAGGUGGAAAUACUUUUUCAAACCAUGUAAUUAGAAAGAAACUGGCUGCCAGAGGAAAUCAUUCAGCAAGAUUCAAAGCAAGCAGAUAUUUGUAUGAAUACCAAAAUGGCCUAGUGCAUUUAUAAUGAAAGCCAAAAAAAAAAAAACCCAAACAUUUAGAAGAGAGAUUAAAGCAUAUGACUCAGGGUUCAAACUAAUCUUUAUGGGAAGGAGAACUCUACUUUUCUGCUUUACAGAAUAUGAAGUAUGUCUCUCACAGUGGUCUUGUGCUGUCCCCGAGUUGCCUGGUUCUGAGCCGUGCCAGGGAGAGGGUGUUGGGCCAGCAGGAUUGUGAGCUUUGCCACAUGUCAGGUGGGAAUAUGUAAGAUCAUACUGCUAAUUGAUGUUGCUGUGAAGGCAAAAGUUCAAAGGUCCACCUGCUGCAACCUGUUCCCCACAUUAUAAUGUAUACCAUGGAAAGAGCGUUUGCUCUGCGUGCGUGUAAAAUGUAAAAACGCUGAGUAGUGCCGGGUCUGCCUGCGUGCACACGAAGCGUUAGCAGCUCUGAAUGUGUAUUUGGUUCAAAGAAAAGGCUGGUGUAUUGGCAGCAGUGGGUUUUUCCCCUGACUGGAUUUCAGGCACUCUGUCAGACUGAGAUAUUCUAGGUGCGUGUUUUCUUCACUGUACAGAGAAACUGAAGGGAAAAAAAUGUAUAGUUGCCAGAAUGUUGCACAUUCUUGGAAUGGUGUACUCUGAGUGCUCAUUUGAAAGGCCAUUCUUCAUGUUUUGUGAUUUCCUCUCUAUUUUUUGUUUUUUUCUUCCAAGUUCCUUAGCUUUGUGUUUAGAUGCUUGUUUGAAAUGAUGUGCUUUAGAGUGACUUCCCAGUUUGUUGUAGAGAUUAAGCAUCGGUGAGUCCACCAGUUUCUCUUGGUAAGCUGUUUCCAAUAUCUGCAGUUAGGGGUUGUAUUUCAUUUCAGAUUUGAGUUUCACUUCCAGCUGUUGCAUCUAGCGCCUCUCAGCAAGGUUCAAAAGCCACGCUCUGCUGGAGUUCCAUGUGUCAGGACCCACGUGCAUCCCUCAGAAUUCUGUUUCAUAAGCUGAAAUCCUAAAUCUUGCCUGGUGGGCUUUGCUUUUUCAAGGGGAAAGGGUUUAAUUCCCAGGACAAUUUGGCCGGGUAGGGGUCUUCCUUUAAGUUCUCUCUAGUAUUUCAGCAUCCUUCUUCCAGAUCCCACUUGGUAUUCUGAGCGCAGCGGCUCAAUCUAGUUUAUUUUGCCAAAGCGAAAACAACUGUGACAUGACUGAGAGAGAGUUGUAUAAACAAAACAAUUCUUGUUUGGGUUUAUAUUUUUAAAAUUACCUAUUUCCAGUAUUUGUUGUUUCUUUUGCCUAUCUGAAGGGAAUAAAUUUUGUUUAAUAGGUAAACAGAACCAUGCACUUGACUUAAAUGAGAAGCAGCUAGCAGGCUAUGCUUGCUCCUUCAUGCCUAGACGUCUGUGAUCCAAUCUGUCUGUCCAGGAGCAGCUAUAGACUUGCUGUUCUCGCUGCUGACACUUCAGCUGACAGGAAUGGGAAUUCAUAUGGUACCGUAUCCCCCCCGCAGAAACAAAGGCGAGCACAAAUUUAAAUGAACCUCUCUGUAUAUUUGAUCUAGCACAGUGCAUCGUUGACGAUUGCCAUGAAACAGUCCUCUGGGGAGAGGAAGACACAUCCACGAGUGGUCAAGUUCAGAUUUAGGAAGUUAAACUACAGAGUGUCUGUACUAGCAAUCCUGUUGGGGCUACACGGGGAGAGUUUGGUACAGGUUGAGGAAUUACCAUAUUAUGGUGUCUAUAGUGGCACGAGGUUCUUGCAUAAAUAUCAUUAUUCUGUUUCUGUCUGGCUUGAAAAUUCCACUGCAUUCUCGUAAAUAGGUAUACAUGCCCCCAGUUGGUUUGCUUCUUGUUUUUUCUAUUUUAUUUAAAACAGUGCUGUGUUAGAGAAACACGGUCUCCUUAGUCCUGGAAUCAGCUGGAAAGCUCUAGGUACGGCAGAACGCGGUGCUGUUUCUCCACAGUGAUAUAAAGCACCCAAUCUCACAUUUGCUAGUUUAUUGCAGCAAGAUUUUUGAUCCUGUUAAAUAUUCUGGUCGUUCUCCCCCCAAAAACUAAGCUAAAGUACUUUAAGUUAAAGUUACAUACUUGGGUCACGGGUUACUUAAAGUUCCGUAUAUGUCCUGGAAUAAGGAUUGCAGUUGCCAGCUGGAUUUAUGGUAUGCUGAAAUUCUCUGUAAUAUGGAUAAAGUAGAAAGCUGUCAGAUACAGAAUUUCUUUAGAGGCUGGUGUUGAACAGUGAGAUAAUGGGUUCUGUUAAGAACUCGGGACCUCAGAAACCUCGCUUCAAGUAAAAUAGCAUUUUUUGAUCCAAUUUUUCUCCAAUAUGCAAACAAAAUAAUGAUAUUAAAUACGUUUACAUAGAAGAAAACCUUUUGUGCACUCCAUUAUAUACAUUUCUUUGCCUUGGCAACAUGCAAGAACAUUUUGACAGCUGCUGAUCAGUUUUGUUGAUUCACUGUUUUGAGGAUGUGCCACCAGUGUUGAUAAUACACAGGUGUUUUGAGCAAGCUUAACAGUGGGCUCUGUGUACUAACAAUUUUAUUGUUGCCACCUGAAAAACACAGAUUUAGGGUACGUCCUGGUUGCAGCUGGGACAGAGUUAAUUUUCUUCCAAGUAGCUGGUACAGUGCUGUGUUUUGGAUUUAGUAUGAGAAUAAUGUUGAUAACGCGCUGAUGUUUUCAGUUGGUGCUAAGUAGUGUUUAUACUACGUCAAGGAUUUUUCAGCUUCUCAUGCCCUGCCAGCGUGAAGGCUGGGGGGGAGCACGGCCCGGAGAGCUGACCCCGGCUAGCCAAAGGGCUGUGCCAUACCACAGCUCGUCAUGGCCAGUAGAUCAGCUGGGGGGCUGGCCAGGAGGGGCGGAUCGCUGCUGGGGCAUCGGUCAGCGGCUGGUGAGCAACUGCACUGGGCAUCACUUGUCUCCUCCUGGCUUUUAUUUCUCACUUUUCGUUAUCUUCGUUUUCAUUGCUAUUAUUGUAUUUUAUUUUUAUUUGAAUGAUUAAACUGUUCUUAUCUCAACCCAUGAGUUUUACUCUUUUUUUUUUUUUUCCGGUUCUGCUCCCCGUCCCACGGGGGCUGGGAGGAGCGAGCGAGGGGCUGCGUGGUGCCUAGUUGCCGGCUGGGGUUAAACCACAGCAGGGUAAUAAAACGACAGGAAGGAGUUCAAAUGAAAUUUGGGCUUUUCUUGUCGCAUGUGGAGGUUGAAGAAAUCCCUUUUGUUCAUGUUUUGUCGGGGCGUGUACAAGUAUGUAAAUUCUUUAGUGGCUGUUAGAUCUUUGGGAGUGACCUUGUGGAGCGGAGGCGAGUUCUCCCCGCAGCACCCGCACACACCAGGCGGGUGUUUGUCCAGGCAAACCCCCGGGGGUGUGAAGUGAGCAGGAGCUGGUUGUGUGCGCGGAGAAGUGCCCAGCGAGUGGAGGUACCAUAAAGCCACAGAUAAGACCUGGCUCCUCUUCCUCUCUUAGUACUGGUUUGGCCUUUGGCAGCUCGUACACUGACUUGGGAGGGAGAUUUAAUGUAGCAUUUUAUAAUUGAGUUUUCAAAAAUUGUUUAUGCAGAGGGUCUGCUGCAUGGAUCGAUGUUAAACUGAAGCAGAAGUGCGUGACGGCGUGUGUAAAGUCUGUCAACCUUGUGUAUUUUCCAGGCAAGUCAUGCUGUGAUUCACCAAAAACAUUUAAUGUUCUAUUGCAAAAUACUUGCUUACAAGAGAUCUUUUGUUCUGCAGGCUUUGGGUUUUUCACUGUUUAUGAUUUUGUCUGUGUGAAAAUGUAAAACGAUAACAUUCAAUAAAAUACAUACACCAGGA